CACUGCCAAUGCCGGUCCCAAGCCCGGAUAAAAGUGGAGGGGGCACGGUUGAAUGGUUAACAGUGAAGUCUCAGAAUUCUGAGUUGUCUACAGUAUAUGGGUAGGCUCUGGCAUCAAGAGAAUAAAUAGUAGUAUAUACUGUAGAUUCAACUUAGCCUUUGAUUGUGUCGCCUGCAGAGUUCUAGCUGAGAGAUGUAAAAGUGGCACAAUUUGAAAUGGAUGUAAUUUAUUCAAUGUUUGCAGCUUUUGAAUUUGACAGCAGACACAGACCUGGGGUAUAUUCAAAUGAAAAGAGGAUCUCUGUUGUAGAAUGAAGAUAUUUUGCUAAAUUUCCUAUGGGCCAAUGGUCUGAAAUGAGACCGCUGACACACACACAAGUCCGCCAACAGCGAGCCGCUCCCUCUGAAUAAAAUGAGAUUGUAAAUUGGAAAUUUGAUGACUAGGUAAAGCAUUGAAUCUGACGAUGGUAGAAUCAGUAUUUGUCAACUUUAGAUCCAAUUUCUGUAUAUAUAUGAGAUGAGAUUAAUUUUGGCACCUGGGUUUAUUGGCUCUUGUGUAACACUCUGGUGUUAAGCGAACUAAAACAUAACAUGUCAUCAUGAGCAUUGCAUA